AUAACAUUCCUUGGAUGAAAGAAAAACAGAGGAAGAAGAGAUAAGAAUCCAUCUAAACCUACUUUCUAAGCCCUGGAGGCCCCAGAAGUGAAAGUCCUCAAACACAAAUUAUUUUACUAAUUUACUGAGCAGACAUUUCUGGAGAGCCCACUCGGUGCUGGGCACUGUUGCAGGCAUGGGGGUAGUGAUGGGGUGACAGUGGAGGCUGCUGCGCUCCAGUCGGGACUAGGUCCUCACGGUACCUCUGGAGGGGAUCUCUGUGGUUGGGACGGGGAUAAGUGGAGAGGGGAGGAGGCUCUCCAGGCCCCUGGCGCCUCAAUCUCCUGUCCCGUUUCACUCUGACUCUCGUUUCCCCAAGGAAGAGGCAGGGAAAGAGGAGACAGGAUUGUAAAGACAAGGAGUAGUUUUCAGUAACUUGGAUUAAAAAUAAGUUGAGGUUAAAGGUUGAACUUAGUGACAAUAUUUUGACCUACAAGAAUGCAAAUUACGUAUAUUUCAACUUAAUAGCUAAAAUGUGUGUUUUGGAGUAAAUGUGGAUUUCGAUUAUUCACAUGAUGUUGCCACUGGUCUGCCACAAUCUAGAUCUGGCUAUAGGCAAAUGAAGACUGAGACAGCCUCAGUAGCUCCAGAGCUGGGCAGCAUGGAGCCGUGAAGACCAAUGCUCAUGGGGGUCACUCAGGAGACCUGACUAUAGAUCCAAGUGUUGCCUUUAAACAGUUGUGUGAUCUCAAGCAAACCUCAUUUCUCCUUCCAUGGGGAAUGGUGGGCACACCAGCUCCAUGCUGGUGCCGGUCCUGUCCCCUGCCACACAUGACUGAGUGCCCACACCAGGCACUUGUGGUGCUGCUGAUGGCAUUACUUUUGUUUCUGGUGUCAGUUUUGUUUAGGCUUUUGGGGAGGAAAAAGCCUAACAAAAGGCUUUCCAGGAGCAGGGAAUGGCUGGGGCCCAUGUGAAGCGUCUCCUGGUUUGGUAACAGGUGCGAUCCUUCAGAUGCUCCCCAAACAUCUCUAAUAAAUGCUUAGUGGGUUCUUCCGGGAAAUGAAAAAAAAAGACACCUGACGUUGUUGUUUAAUAUCUGAGUACACCUGCAUCUUCCAUGUUCAGAUACUCUGAACUCAGAGGAUAGGUGAAGACCUGGCCAAGGCGCCUAGAGUGUCCCCCUGCCUGCUCCAUAGAGACCCCACCACACAGAUGAAGACCCUGAGUGAGGAGAAAGCCUGCAAAGCUCCUCAACCCUCCCCUCAGCUCUGUCAGCCCUGGGUUCCAGCAAAGACCUUGCUUCUUCUGUCUCCCACUGGGACCCCUGUCACUGCUACCUGGAUGCUUGUUCCUCAAGCUGGCACCCGAGCUACCAUCUCCGCCCUAUGAUGAUGGAAGCUUAGUUAAAUGAAGCUCUUUCUGGAGCCAAUGGGCUGGAUCUUAAGCCUCCCGGAGAAUGUGAGUGUAAUUUAGGAAAGUGGAAGGAAUGAUUGAGUCUGUGUCCUAAUCCCUGAGAGUCUGUACUCACUGAAGUGAGCAGCCUAAUCCUCCUGGUACCUGCGGACUCAGGAUGGAAUCUUUAAUUACCAGAGUCUCAUUUCUGCUUCACGAGCACUACCGGAGUAGCAUCUGUCGCUCAAAUAAACUCAUGUGAAAAUAAAGUAUUAAAAUCAAUAAUUCAGCUUGGAGGUGAAAUGGAACAGAAAAAUAACUUUCUGGCUUGCAGUGUCCUGGAUUUGCAGGCGGCAAGUUUCACUGACUCUUGCUUCUCCCUCUCCUUGGAGCAUGCGAACCUUGGUGGGUGCUGGCUGGCCUGCACCAGAGAUGCAGUGGGGGAUGCAGCUUCCACCAGGGUGUGGGGGAUGCACUUUCUGGAAGAAAGGGCAACAGCCAUACCUUCUUCCAGCAGCUCCUGUGGCCACCUCCAGGUCAGAGUGAGCCCCCGGCAGGCCCCAGGCUGGCUCUGAGGCUGAUGCAGCAGGUUCAGUUAUUCUGCUGUGGCCUGAAUGUGAGUUUCUCUUCACUUCAUCACAUUUUGGCUUCAACACUGAACAGAUUUCAAAGACCACCUGAAGUUCCCUGUCUCCAGGACGUCUCUCCUGAUUUCUCAUUUCUGGAGUGAUUGUGAAGAGAGCCAAGUUUACCAGUUGUUUAUAAUUUCACUCCAGGUGCGGUGAUAAGCAUGCACAUCUCCCUUUGGCUGUCACAGUAACCCUUUGAGGUAGGCGCUGCCACGUUUCCCAUUUAGAGGGGAGGAAAAAGACGCAGGGAGGUGAGGCACCUGCCCAACCCGCAUGGGCAGGUGGGAACCAGGGUCCAAACCUGGCCUUCCUUUCCUGCCUAUCUUUCCUCUGCGGAGGUGUCACUGCCAUGCUGCACACAGCUGCCAUGCAGUGCUCUGUUCCAGAUGCCUGUGCCUGUGACCCCUCUGCCCAUGAGGCUGGGCACAGCCACUGCUGCACUGAGCUUUUGUGUCUUCCAUUUUGUGUGUUUCGCCAUCUUUUUAUAGAUGGUGGGGGAUGGAGUGGACACAAGAGGGCGGCAGGAGAGGGGUGGGAAGAUGUGAUCUUGGGGUUUUCUCACCAUUUCACCUGACCAGAGGCCAGAACGUCAUUUGGAAUUCUUCGGCCUUUACAUCCAAUGAUACAGUUGGGGCCGUUCAUCCAUUCCUCAACAAGCAUCUGCUGAAGGCCUGGUGAGAGCCAGGAACCAGCCGUGGAGUGGGGUGGGAGUGCCCAGGAACCAUCAUAAUCAUUUUGAAAACCACCAAGAGGAGAGCUGCCAACCAUCAACACCUGCUCCCCAGCAGAGCUGAGGUUUCUCUGCAGCCGCCUCCCUUUCAAGAGCAAGCCCAUGAUGUUGUCCUCAUCCGGAAGAUCCCUGCCUAUCCUGCCUGAAAACAGCCCAUUGAGAGCAAAGGUGACUGCACUGCCUGCCAUCCUCAGAUACAGAAGUAUGCUACUAACUUUUAAUUUUAAUUUUUUAGAGACAGGGUCUUCCUGUCUCCCAGGCUGGAGUGCAGUGACACGAUCCUAGCUCACAGCAGCUUUGAACUCCUGGGCUCAAGUGAUCCUCCCGCCUCAGCCUCCUGACUAGCUGGGACUAAAAGUGCUCAUCACUGCGCCCUGCUAAUAUUUUCAAAUUUUUUUGUAGAGAUGGGGGUCUCAUUAUGUUGCCCAGGCUGGUCUCAAAUUCCCUGCCUUAAACAAUCCUCUCAUCUCAGCCUCCCAAAGCGCUGGGAUUAGAGGUGUGAGCCACCGUGCUACUGAUGCUACUAUUUUAAUAUCCUCCUUCUCUUAAACAAAUCAUCAUACUCUGUUCCAGGGAGAAUUUCCCAGCUACGAGGGCUUUUGUCUAGGUUGAAAAUGGCAUGGGUUGGUAAGCCCUGUACUCUAAUGUAGAAGGAAGGAGGCUAAGUAGGUUCCAUGGACAUCAUUCCUGCCUGUGGGCAUGUGUGUCCCACAGCUGAUUGGGAAGGGGAAGAGAGAGGAAGGGAGCAUGAAUGAGAAGGGGAGGAGAGAGGCUCUGGGGGAGGACUUUGGGUUCUCGGUGAGGGAUGAGAGCCACAGAAGACACAGAAAUGCUCCCUCUGCAUUGUUUCCAUCCUGCCUCCUCCUCCCUCCUCUGACCACCCAGCCCUGGACUCAGGAGACACCAGUUGGUACCUGGUGAUAUUUCUAAAUAACUCAGGGCAGAGAAACUGCAGGAUUCAACAUUCCUGGCUGUGUUUUUAAUGAAGCCCUUGAAGCUUGGUGAGAGGUGAUGGGAGAGAUGGAUAUAAUUUCGGAUGGGCACUUUCUGUUGGUAGAAAGGACUCAGCCCAUUUGUUAAGAACCUUGUCUUGGGAACUAUUUUGUCUUUUUCAAAAAACUCAGUAUAGGAUGGAAGAAAAAGCCCAGGCUUCAGAGCAAGGUGGACUCUAGUUUAAAUUCAAAUGCUGCUCUGACCUUCUGUCUCUCUCCUUGUACUUCUUCUAAUUCUCCAAACUGAGUAUUUGAGUUAGAUUUCUUCAUGACUUACUACAGAGGUCUUUGGUUUAGGCAAUGUGGCAAUUAAUCUAGGUAGUUUAGGGAGAUUUACCAGAUUGGAGAAUGAUGAGAAAAGAAGAGAUGAUACCUAUGAGGCUAAUAUUGAGGAAGGAGAAUACAAUAUUAACAAAACAGGCAAGGGAAUUUAAGCCAUUUGGUCAUUUGGAGCCAUUAAGUGAAGGAAAAAUGGAAAAUUGACAGAUCAUAAGAGCCACUGGCACAUCACCCA
rnacentral:lncRNA from 1 species